rnacentral:rRNA from 2 species
UUAGAGUUUGAUCAUGGCUCAGAUUGAACGCUGGCGGCAGGCCUAACACAUGCAAGUCGAGCGGAAACGAGUUAUCUGAACCUUCGGGGGACGAUAACGGCGUCGAGCGGCGGACGGGUGAGUAAUGCCUAGGAAAUUGCCCUGAUGUGGGGGAUAACCCUUGGAAACGAUGGCUAAUACCGCAUAAUACCUUCGGGUCAAAGAGGGGGACCUUCGGGCCUCUCGCGUCAGGAUAUGCCUAGGUGGGAUUAGCUAGUUGGUGAGGUAAUGGCUCACCAAGGCGACGAUCCCUAGCUGGUCUGAGAGGAUGAUC